rnacentral:rRNA from 1 species
AUUGAACGCUGGCGGCAUGCCUUACACAUGCAAGUCGAACGGCAGCACGGGUGCUUGCACCUGGUGGCGAGUGGCGAACGGGUGAGUAAUACAUCGGAACGUACCUUAUCGUGGGGGAUAACGCAGCGAAAGCUGUGCUAAUACCGCAUACGCCCUGAGGGGGAAAGCGGGGGAUCGCAAGACCUCGCGCGAUUGGAGCGGCCGAUGCCUGAUUAGCUUGUUGGUGGGGUAAAAGCCCACCAAGGCGACGAUCAGUAGCUGGUCUGAGAGGAAGAUCAGCCACACUGGGACUGAGACACGGCCCAGACUCCUACGGGGGGCAGCAGUGGGGAAUUUUGGACAAUGGGGGCAACCCUGAUCCAGCAAUGCCGCGUGAGUGAAGAAGGCCUUCGGGUUGUAAAGCUCUUUUGUCAGGGAAGAAACACUGGCUCUAACACAGUUCGGGAAUGACGGUACCUGAAGAAUAAGCACCGGCUAACUACGUGCCAGCCGCCGCGGUAA